UACGUAGGGGGCUAGCGUUGUUCGGAAUUACUGGGCGUAAAGCGCGCGUAGGCGGAUCUGCAAGUCGGGGGUGAAAUCCCGAGGCUCAACCUCGGAACUGCCUUCGAUACUGCGGGUCUCGAGUCCGGGAGAGGUGAGUGGAAUUCCUAGUGUAGAGGUGAAAUUCGUAGAUAUUAGGAAGAACACCAGUGGCGAAGGCGGCUCACUGGCCCGGUACUGACGCUGAGGCGGCGAAAAGCGUGGGGAGCAAACAGG
rnacentral:rRNA from 1 species